GGCAUGCUAUACAUGCAGUCGAGCGAACAGAUGAAGUGCUUGCACUUCUGACGUUAGCGGCGAACGGGUGAGUAACACGUAAGGAAUCUACCUAUAAGCGGGGGAUAACAUUCGGAAACGGGUGCUAAUACCGCAUAAUAUCUUCUUCCGCAUGGAAGAAGAUUGAAAGACGGCUCUGCUGUCACUUAUAGAUGACCUUGCGGUGCAUUAGUUAGUUGGUGGGGUAACGGCCUACCAAGACGAUGAUGCAUAGCCGACCUGAGAGGGUGAUCGGCCACAUUGGGACUGAGACACGGCCCAAACUCCUACGGGAGGCAGCAGUAGGGAAUCUUCCGCAAUGGGCGAAAGCCUGACGGAGCAAUGCCGCGUGAGUGAAGAAGGCCUUCGGGUCGUAAAACUCUGUUAUAAGAGAAGAACAAAUUGUAGAGUAACUGCUACAGUCUUGACGGUAUCUUAUCAGAAAGCCACGGCUAACUACGUGCCAGCAGCCGCGGUAAUACGUAGGUGGCAAGCGUUGUCCGGAUUUAUUGGGCGUAAAGGGAGCGCAGGUGGUUUCUUAAGUCUGAUGUGAAAGCCCACGGCUUAACCGUGGAGGGUCAUUGGAAACUGGGAAACUUGAGUACAGAAGAGGAAUGUGGAACUCCAUGUGUAGCGGUGGAAUGCGUAGAUAUAUGGAAGAACACCAGUGGCGAAGGCGACAUUCUGGUCUGUUACUGACACUGAGGCUCGAAAGCGUGGGGAGCAAACAGGAUUAGAUACCCUGGUAGUCCACGCCGUAAACGAUGAGUGCUAGGUGUUGGAGGGUUUCCGCCCUUCAGUGCCGCAGUUAACGCAUUAAGCACUCCGCCUGGGGAGUACGACCGCAAGGUUGAAACUCAAAGGAAUUGACGGGGACCCGCACAAGCGGUGGAGCAUGUGGUUUAAUUCGAAGCAACGCGAAGAACCUUACCAAGUCUUGACAUCCUUUGACCACCCUAGAGAUAGGGCUUUCCCUUCGGGACAAAGUGACAGGUGGUGCAUGGUUGUCGUCAGCUCGUGUC
rnacentral:rRNA from 1 species